rnacentral:rRNA from 1 species
CUACCUGCAGUCGAGCGGAGAGGGGAGCUUGCUCCUUGAUUCAGCGGCGGACGGGUGACUAUGAAUAGGAAUCUGCCUGGUAGUGGGGGAUAACGUUCCGCAUGGAACGCUAAUACCGCAUACGUCCUACGGGAGAAAGCAGGGGACCUUCGGGCCCUGCGCUAUCAGAUGAGCCUAGGUCGGAUUAGCUAGUUGGUGAGGUAAUGGCUCACCAAGGCGACGAUCCGUAACUGGUCUGAGAGGAUGAUCAGUCACACUGGAACUGAGACACGGUCCAGACUCCUACGGGAGGCAGCAGUGGGGAAUAUUGGACAAUGGGCGAAAGCCUGAUCCAGCCAUGCCGCGUGUGUGAAGAAGGUCUUCGGAUUGUAAAGCACUUUAAGUUGGGAGGAAGGGCAGUAAGUUAAUACCUUGCUGUUUUGACGUUACCAACAGAAUAAGCACCGGCUAACUUCGUGCCAGCAGCCGCGGUAAUACGAAGGGUGCAAGCGUUAAUCGGAAUUACUGGGCGUAAAGCGCGCGUAGGUGGUUUUGUAAGUUGGAGGUGAAAUCCCCGGGCUCAACCUGGGAACUGCCUCCAAAACUGCAUGACUAGAGUACGGUAGAGGGUAGUGGAAUUUCCUGUGUAGCGGUGAAAUGCGUAGAUAUAGGAAGGAACACCAGUGGCGAAGGCGACUACCUGGACUGAUACUGACACUGAGGUGCGAAAGCGUGGGGAGCAAACAGGAUUAGAUACCCUGGUAGUCCACGCCGUANACGAUGUCAACUAGCCGUUGGGUACCUUGAGUACUUAGUGGCGCAGCUAACGCAUUAAGUUGACCGCCUGGGGAGUACGGCCGCAAGGUUAAAACUCAAAUGAAUUGACGG